ACCAAAGAUGUAUUUCUAAUGUCAAACCGAACAGAUAAACUGAUGGAUUUUUCAGAUGCUGCUGUAACAGCUGGAGUACUGACUGAGCUCUCAGCUUGAAGAGACUGUACAUCAUCAGGACUUUCAAGUUUCUUUUCCAUCAAUGGUUGCCCGAACCAAUAAUAGAUCGAAAGCAAGUGGUCUAAAGAAAGCACAUACAUGGACUUAAAAAUAUCUCCUUCAAGGAGUAUUGACGAAGUGUCUGGCUUGUAUUGAAAUGAAACUUGAAGCUGACUCUCCGUGUCUGUAGAAGGGAUGAUCACAUUUGAAAAAUAUCUAGAUUUUUCCGAACGAACAUCUUCAAUGGCCAGAGAAGCCAUUUUUAUCAAAGCAG